rnacentral:rRNA from 1 species
GGACUGAGACACGGCCCAGACUCCUACGGGAGGCAGCAGUAGGGAAUCUUCCGCAAUGGACGAAAGUCUGACGGAGCAACGCCGCGUGAGUGAUGAAGGUUUUCGGAUCGUAAAGCUCUGUUGUUAGGGAAGAACAAGUACCGUUCGAAUAGGGCGGUACCUUGACGGUACCUAACCAGAAAGCCACGGCUAACUACGUGCCAGCAGCCGCGGUAAUACGUAGGUGGCAAGCGUUGUCCGGAAUUAUUGGGCGUAAAGGGCUCGCAGGCGGUUCCUUAAGUCUGAUGUGAAAGCCCCCGGCUCAACCGGGGAGGGUCAUUGGAAACUGGGGAACUUGAGUGCAGAAGAGGAGAGUGGAAUUCCACGUGUAGCGGUGAAAUGCGUAGAGAUGUGGAGGAACACCAGUGGCGAAGGCGACUCUCUGGUCUGUAACUGACGCUGAGGAGCGAAAGCGUGGGGAGCGAACAGGAUUAGAUACCCUGGUAGUCCACGCCGUAAACGAUGAGUGCUAAGUGUUAGGGGGUUUCCGCCCCUUAGUGCUGCAGCUAACGCAUUAAGCACUCCGCCUGGGGAGUACGGUCGCAAGACUGAAACUCAAAGGAAUUGACGGGGGCCCGCACAAGCGGUGGAGCAUGUGGUUUAAUUCGAAGCAACGCGAAGAACCUUACCAGGUCUUGACAUCCUCUGACAAUCCUAGAGAUAGGACGUCCCCUUCGGGGGCAGAGUGACAGGUGGUGCAUGGUUGUCGUCAGCUCGUGUCGUGAGAUGUUGGGUUAAGUCCCGCAACGAGCGCAACCCUUGAUCUUAGUUGCCAGCAUUCAGUUGGGCACUCUAAGGUGACUGCCGGUGACAAACCGGAGGAAGGUGGGGAUGACGUCAAAUCAUCAUGCCCCUUAUG